ACGACUGCUGGUAAGAGUGGAUAGGAAAUAAAAAGGCAUCUUUUUAUUUUUAAAAGACCUUUUUCGGAAGGUAUGCUUAAAGAGGGGCUUGCGUCACAUUAGUUAGUUGGCAGGGUAAAAGCCUACCAACACUAUGAUGUGUAACUGGACUGAGAGGUUGAACAGUCACAUUGUGACUGAGACACGGCCCAAACUCCUACAGCAGGCAGCAGUAGGGAAUUUUCGGCAAUGGAGGAAACUCUGACCGAACAACGCCGCGUGAACGAUGAAGUAUUUCGGUAUGUAAAGUUCUUUUAUUGAAGAAGAAAAAAUAGUGGAAAAACUAUCUUGACGAUAUUCAAUGAAUAAGCCCCGGCAAACUAUGUGCCAGCUGCCGCGGUAAUACAUGGGGGGCGAGCGUUAUCCGGAAUUAUUGGGCGUAAAGGGUGCGUAAGCGGUUUAAUAAGUCUAUAGUUUAAUUUCAGUGCUUAACACUGUCCUGCUAUAGAAACUAUUAGACUAGAGUAAGAUAGAGGCAAAUGGAAUUCCAAGAGUAGCGGUAAAACGCGUAAAUAUAUGGAGGAACACCAGAGGCGUAGGCGGCUUGAUGGGGAUUUUACGACGCUGAGGCACGAAAGCGUGGGGAGCAAACAGGAUUAGAUACCCAGGUAGUCCACACCGUAAACGAUGAGUACUAAGUGUCGGGAUUACUCGGUACUGAAGUUAACACAUUAAGUACUCCGCCUGAGUAGUACGUACGCAAGUAUGAAACUUAAAGGAAUUGACGGGACUCCGCACAAGCGGUGGAUCAUGUUGUUUAAUUAGAAGAUACACGAAAAACCUUACCAGGUCUUGACAUACUCUGCAAAGCUAUAGCAAUAUAGUGGAGGUUAUCAGGGAUACAGGUGGUGCAUGGUUGUCGUCAGCUCGUGUCGUGAGAUGUUAGGUUAAGUCCUAAAACGAGCGCAACCCUUGUCAUUAGUUGCCAGCAUGUCAUGAUGGGCACUUUAAUGAGACUGCCAAUGAAAAAUUGGAGGAAGGUGAGGAUCACGUCAAAUCAUCAUGCCCCUUAUGAUCUGGGCUACAAACGUGAUACAAUGGCUGUUACAAAGAGUAGCUGAAACGUAAGUUUAUAGUCAAUCUCAUAAAAGCAGUGUCAGUUUGGAUUGAAGUCUGCAACUCGACUUCAUGAAGUUGGAAUCGCUAGUAAUCGCGAAUCAGCAUGUCGCGGUGAAUACGUUCUCGGGGUUAGUACACACCGCCUGUCA
rnacentral:rRNA from 1 species